CAUGUAAUAUUCUAUUGGGUUUCCAGAAAGUUUAGUGCUGGAACUUAGUACUCAUUGGGUUAUGCUACGUAGUGAAUUCAGUCACCUGGUCCUUUGAGGAAAAUGAAGAGCUUUCUCCCUGUAAGCCUUUCUUAGCAGUAAAGUCUGUAUGUUGGCCUGACCUCCCUGAUUUUUGUAUAAUUUAGGUGUCAGAGAUACCCAUAAAACUACCCAUGGAAGAUAGUUUUCAGACACUGUAAUUUAGGUGUCUCUGAAAUGUAAUAAAUAGAGCUUUGUCUGGGUUUUGGAAAUAUACUGUUUUCUUCCCAAACAGCUGUUCAUUUGUAUUAACGAUUUUUCUCUCCCUAGAGAGGCAGGAUUUCUUUUUUAGAUAAAAUCUUGUCCCCCUUUUCAUUCUGUCAGCUGUGCUUAGUCAGUGGUUGGGGUGUUACUUUCAGAGUCCCUGCACACGUGGGCCUCCAGAAGCGGGCUAGCGCUCUCUUUGCCCCAGGUUUUGCCAGACUGUCACUUCAUAGCUUCGUGGGGCUGGUCCAUCCUGCUGCCUUUUCAGUGCAGUUAAGACCACUUGGGAAAAGGUAUGUCGGCACCAUGUGCAGGAUGUGCAGGUCUUUGCCCCGUCUCUCACUGGCAAAGCGGAGGACACUUGGCUUUUCAUCUUGGGGGCCCCAGUUAGCACCCAAAGUGGCAAUUUAUGAGGUGAUGAUGACAGUGGUGGUAACUAUGAGGUCUGGCCACAGCAGCUACCAAGUAGAUACCGGCCCCUCCCCUCCAAGAGGGCACAACCCACUUGGGCCUAGAAAAGACCUUUGCACAUGAGAAAAAGAAAGCAGUGAACAUGUAUAUAAACACAUACACAUAAAAUUUCCUACCUGAGACAGGUAGGUGGUUCAAGUAUUGUUAAAAUGACAGUUUAGUUUGAAUUCUGUCCCAGAGGGACUAAAGGUCACCAGAUUCCCAUGGCUGGUAGCCUGCACAUCAUACCCUUUCCUUCUUAAUAUCUCUGAGAGUCAUGGAGGGGAAAGGUCAUUAAGAGUGGCAUGGCUCUGCCACUUCUGUGCUGUGCAACUUGGGGCAUGCUACUUAAGUGGGCCUAACCUUAUUCAUGUCUAGAUGAUGACAUUGUGUUAUCACCUCCCAGAGUUUUUAAGAGGAUUCAAUGACUUACUACACAGAAUGUUCAAAACAGUGCCUGGCAUGUACUUAGUGCCCAAAAAAACAUUAGCUAUGUGAUUGCUAAAGUGCUCAGCACAGGGAACCUGUGCAAUAGGAAGUUAGAGCUGUAUGAGAUGCUCUGGGAGGUGAGUAUUCAGUAGGUCCAAUUCAGAGCAGAUAAGGCAAGCACACUCAGUCUGAUAAGGGAAGCCCAUCUUACCCAUACCUUUAGCAAAGUUAGAAUGAAACAGUAUUUUUGUUCUGCUACAACCCAGGACUGCUCCAGCUAUGAAAUUAACAAAGGACAAAUAACUUACAAUGUCAGCCUCUGGGGAACCUAGUCUUAAUUCUCAGUGGGACGGUUAAUAUGCGCCAUAGUUAAUGCAGGUCUCCACUCUGGGUAGAUCAGAGGCUGCCUCAUAAUGACACAUUCCAGAAUACUGCUGUGCAGCCUUUGAGAUUUAUAUCCUUUAAUUUUGAAACCCGUGGGGCACCUCGUGUUUACACAUCAGUACAUUCCAAGUAACACACCUCCAUUCACAAUCUGUGGUGCUCAGACCUCCCAAAAACUGCUCUUGACCAUUGACGGAGACUGUGAUCAAAGACUUACGAAUUUGGAAGCUUGGGAGUGAUUGCAAAGGCUUUGUUUAGAAUCCUAUUCCUCUUUGAACUGGGUUGAAGUCAGCAAUGAAAUCAGGAACCUGGAAGCCGUGGUGGUACAGAGAGAACCAGUGGGGGAACUUCACUUCCAGGUCCAGUCAGAUAAAGGAGACACAGGAAGGACCGGGCAGAGGGAUGGAAAAGCCUACCUGAGACUAUGGCUCCCCUCUCCUGCUGCAGCAGAAGUGAGAAGGGAGUUCACGAGAGCAGUUAAGGGGCUUUAUCUGAAGAGCGCUGUGUGGUUCAGCACAUCUGUGCACCAUAAAUCCAGAUUUUAGUUGCUGCUGCUCCCAUUUCCUCAUGUCAGCAUCUGAUCAGCAGCCUCUAAAUGUUCUAGCAUUCCUAGCAAAUAAUUUUGAUUUGGAAGCCUUCUAUUGAUAACUAAUUUUUAUUGAAAGAUUAUUCUCUUCAUAAGAAAUCUCUUGACAAUUUCAGUGAUGUUAAAUUAGAUUCCAAAUAUAUGAUGACAGCUUUGUAGGUGUGUGUUAUGUGUGCAGUGCAUUGAAAUGCAUGGAGCAGGUCCUGCCAUCUUAUAAUGACACUGCUUUAAGUUUUCAGUGUGUAGGGAGCACCCAGCAUUCAUGCUCUGUAUGAAUGUGUAUAAACACAUGUGAUGCUUGAACCAUGAGCCCUAUAUAUAGGAUUUGGUAUCAUACAUGAAGAUUAUUGAGGGCAGGGGUUUUUAUGCUAGAAACUUCCUUGUCAAAUGUCCAGUAGCUUUCGAUAAGUUCCACCUGAGGACAGUGUGGUGUAGACAAAAAGGCACCGGAUUUUAAACAGAAAAAUCUGGCUUCUGGUCCCGUCUUCACUGUUUUAUAGAAUCUAUUUAUUAGGAUAAUGGGUUUGAAAGACAGACCUAGGAUUGUGGUUCUAGCUGUGCCACUUACUUAGGCAAGAUAUUGGUAGCAUCUCAGCCUCAGUUACCAGUCUAUAAAAUGAGGAUCAUGAUAAUAUCAAUAAUAUCUUUUUCACAGUGUUGCUGUUAUAAUUUCAAAAUGCUGGAAAAGCACUUAUCACAACAACUGCAUGCAGAAAGGGCUUAAUAAGUAAUGAUAGUAAUAACACUAAUAAUAAUGGCUCAUACGGUUUAUUGUUUGAGCUGUUUUAUUAUUGAAUCUCAAUUAAAUCAUUCAUUAGAUGGAAGAAACAUGUCCUACCUUCUGGGGCUAUUUUUGGAGUUGAAUGAGCUAGUGUAUGUGAACACACUCUGUAUAUGCGCUGAAGCAUUCUGUUAGAAAUAAUAACAAUAAUGCUUAUGUUUUCAUUUAUUGAGAAUCUAAAUGCCAGGCAUUUGCAUAUUAUUGCUAAAUCUCCACAACAAUGCUCUAAGGUAGGUGGUGGUAUUUUUUACUGGAAAUGAAACAGGCUUAGAAGAAUUUGCCUGGGAUCAUGCUCAGAUUUCAACCUAGAUCUUUUUUUUUUUUUUAAUUCAAUUUACCAUUCUACAUAGCCACAUCUCAAUGAUAAUACUAGAACUGUUGAUACUAGGUUGUUGUUCCUGUGGAUAAUAGACUCAAGCUCCUUCCUGUCUCCUAGUCUGGGCUGUCGUGUCAUCACUGAGUAAGCUAGCAUACACUGCAUGUAUUUGAUGUUAAGACAUGAUUUUGAUGAAAUGCAUUUACUGUGUACUCAUUCACAAACUUGCAUGUGUAUCCACGCACUAAGCUGGGGGCUGUGAAGGGAGUUCCAAAAAAGAAGGAACAUGUCAGCAAGUCCUCGGCAAUGGCAGUGUGGUUGAUACACGGACUGUAUCCCCAAGGGGGAUAAUUUGAAGGGCAUGCUUUUUGAAUGGGUGACUUCUUAUGUUUUUAUUAUAAUGUUUGAUGCUUUUUUAGUCACUCCUCAUGUUUUUACAUUUCAGUUACAUGAAUUUUCAUUCAUAUUGUGGAUUACAAGUAAAUGGAAUUUACAACUGGUGCCCCUGCCUGCAUAGUAAUGAAAGAAAAGGAGAAAUAGCUUCAGAUGAGGGUGCUGUUCCUCUCCUGUGUCAAGAAAGCCUUCCAAGGAUUCGCAGAGGGAGUGCUUUGCAGUAGGUUUCAAGUAAUAAUCCUCUGGAGAGAGGGGACCAUCCAUCCUUUGUUUUUCUCAUCUUGUUUUAAAUCACUGGAAAGCAGAUAUUAUCACUGUGGUCUAGUUAAAAAUGGUGGAGCCCUGAAUAAUUCGCAGUCACCCCUUUAAUAGUUCGGUUCAGUUAGAGCCUUAUAAAGAGGCACGGUCCGCGCAGAGGUGCCCUGCCUGCCCUCCUCGCGGUCUGUCUCCCCCUUUGUUGGGGGGGUGGCGGGAAGGGGAAGCGAACAAGCAGCUGUGCUGUUACGUCUGCAGGCUUCUGCCAACCAUAUGGCAUCUUAAAGAAAGAUGGUCGGAGCGUCUGGAUUAGCAAAGAGUCGGGAUGGGAAGCCAUGUGUCGUGUUGGUACAGGCAGUUGUUUGAGCUCUCUCUAAAUGGCUUCAGGAGAUUGUGUAAUGGAACAAAUGGUCCUCAGAGCCCAGGAACAGCCUUGCCGCUGCUGGGGAGGCAAUUGGCCCUCGGGCGGGUACUGCUCCCCUCCCCCAGUAUUAUGCACUCUUAAUGUUCAUCAAACUCUGAGAACUGACUCAGAACUUUUCAACUUCUAAUUAGGCUGGCAGGCUUUCCCUGCUCUGUGUCUGCCUGAACUGCCUUGCUCUCUGAUCUUGUAAUUAAUGAUGCCCCGGUAGCACCGCAUGAGCUCCCCAGCCCUCUGCAGGGGGCGAGGCUCAGCCCACCCACACUCGAGUGCCUUUCUCGGGGAGGUUGCCUGGCCACUGGGGAAAUGUGCCCUCCCACCAGAAUCUCCCAAAAACCCCCAGGAUGGAAAAUCGUUCAUUCCUUAGUAAGUCAGCUGAGGUUUUGUACAGUCCCAAGUGUUGAGCACAUGAGAGAUGUGUCCCUUCACUAUUUUGGACCUUAUGUGCGGCAUUAAAAAAAAUUACACUAAUUCCUAGCAGUGAUGUCUUUGGAUCUUUGGAUCUCAUGUGCCGUUUACUCAGCAAUUUGAGACGUCGGGAUUCAACUCCCUAACACAAAAUGUAAAAUGUAAGUUUAAGAGUUGAGUCACAAUGAUACUACUGGCAGUAUUUCAGCUGUGGUCAAGUUCCUGGACCAUUCUUGUUUUGAGAGGCUAAGGCAGAAGGAGCCUUGAGAACUUCCAGCAAGAGCAGAUCUUUCAAGUUUGUUGUCUUAGCCAAGCUCUUUGGACAUUUCAGCUACUUUUUAGGCAAAGAGAUCUCUGUUGUCAUUGUAGGUAGGGUCACUGAUGUAUGCAAUGCAAUAUCUUUACUGCUAGAAAAGUUAGGUCCACCCCCUCAAUGGGAUGGAUGACUAACUCUGAGGCUAUGGGGUAUCAUAACUGUGGUUAAUGGAAGGUAAAAUUAGUAGAUUCAGUGAAAGAACUGGACAAUUUAUCUGACCACACCACCAAUCAGUUUGAUGAAGUAAGUGGUCAGUCAGGGCAGUGGGAGUCGCUGGGGGUUGCCUUGUUUAUACUGCCCCCCAUGGGAGCAGAACAGCUUGAACAGAAACACCUCCUUAGGGGUCGAGCUGCUCCCUCCCUUCUCACAGGCAGUAAGGCCCCGGAAAACAGAUCAAGUAAGAAUUGUAGCGCCCAUGCUGAGUGAGUUAGCUGUGGUCCACUGUAGGACAGAGGAGGCUUGUGUACAACCUCUGCCAAAGGUACUUUGAGCAAUGACAAUGCAUCCGAGUUCACUCUGCCGUGCAGUGAGGCAGAGGCUUCCCCCCCAAAGAGAAACGAGACCAGAGCAUGUGUGGUGAGGCUCCCAUGCGAGGAGAGGACACAGAAUCUGGAAAUCUGAAUGUGCCUUCAGACUGUAAUCAUUUUUAUGUACUUGAGUGAGAAAGAUGAUUUUUACUUUCUUAAGGUCAUCUGAGAAUCAUUUGAAGAUUGUUACCAAUUUCUUUCAUAAAUAAAUAUUUUCUUCAAGGAUAA